GUGAUCGGAAGCUGUGAGUUCGAGUUAUUUGAUUCGUAAUGGACUGUUUUGUGGGCUGUUUCGUGUAGCUUUUGGUCUAUAUAUUUUGCUGCUAUUUAAUGGAGUUUUUAGAGGAUAAAUGGUGUGGAGAAACACCACGUAAUGGCAAAAUUAUGGAUUAGUCAUUCUUUGUAAUAUUUUCGGGGUGUUGGACACUACUAUAGUUGUCGUUUUUGGUAUGAAUUGAUUGGGGUAUGUUGGGAUGUUGUAAGCUAAAUAUAAUAUUGAUUUCGACUUGAAUCAACUGUAUGAGGUAAUUAUAUUGUGUUCUUAUAGGUUCUUACGGUUAUCUUGGCAUUGGUUAAGUUAAAUGGAUGAACUAGACAUGAACUAUUGAAUAAAGUUGCUAAUUAAGAAUAAUUGGAGUUGUGGAUCAUUUUCUUUGUUAUGGAUAUAUGGUAUAAGGCUGGAAUUAUUGAUGAAUGACUUCAUUAUCAUGUUAAUGAUACUAUUAAGUUAAAGUAAAAAGUCUAUAAGGGAUGAUAUGGGGUAUACGAAUUUCAAUUGGAGCUUGUCGCUCGUCGUAAAAUAGUUAUGACUUGUUGUUGUUUUAUGGUGUCUUGUUAUUGAUAAUUAUGUAUUGCUGGAUUUCUCUGGUAAUUGUUGUUGGUAUAUGAUAUUGGAGGAGGCUCUUGUUAUAGGG
rnacentral:lncRNA from 1 species